rnacentral:lncRNA from 1 species
UCUCUAAUAAAGUAGGGAGGGAGGGAAGGCAGGAGGGGGGUAAAACCAGCUCUGUGUGAAAUUCAAAGAAGGGUGAAUAUUGGUUUAGGCAAAAAGUAGUAAUGUGAAAUUGUGUGAUUCAUCAGUGCUAGAUUUGAGGUUUUUUUCUUUAAAUUGGGAACUGUAGAAGAAUUUCCAGGGCUGGUUAUGAAGACUUAAAUGCUUUACCCACAAAAUGAAUGAAAUGUAAUUCAGUCUCCAUGUUCAUUACUUAGAUUCAUUUGAGUCUACCAGGACAGGAGCCAAUUAGCAUUACAGAUGAUACAAGCAAAUGAAAGCACCAAAGUGUUCCAUGUUCAUCAAUGAAACAUCCUGACUCUGUAAUGAUCUCCUGUCACUCCUAGUGAUGGUGUGACUUCACAGCCAGUUUUAUACAGGUAGGGUCAGCAGGGACAAGUGCCAAAUACAGGGAAAGAGGGAGUCAUUUUUUCAGCAAAGAGAGCGGGCCAUGUUUUGCUAUGGAAGCAACAACACGAAAUAAAAACCCAGAAAAAUAUCAAGGUCACUGUAACUGAA